GAGUCCGCUGGAAGGAAGAGAACACACAUGCAAGUCGAGCGGUAGCACAGAGAGCUUGCUCUCGGGUGACGAGCGGCGGACGGGUGAGUAAUGUCUGGGAAACUGCCUGAUGGAGGGGGAUAACUACUGGAAACGGUAGCUAAUACCGCAUAAUGUCGCAAGACCAAAGUGGGGGACCUUCGGGCCUCAUGCCAUCAGAUGUGCCCAGAUGGGAUUAGCUAGUAGGUGGGGUAACGGCUCACCUAGGCGACGAUCCCUAGCUGGUCUGAGAGGAUGACCAGCCACACUGGAACUGAGACACGGUCCAGACUCCUACGGGAGGCAGCAGUGGGGAAUAUUGCACAAUGGGCGCAAGCCUGAUGCAGCCAUGCCGCGUGUGUGAAGAAGG
rnacentral:rRNA from 1 species